rnacentral:lncRNA from 1 species
GCCAGUUUAACAGCUGGGCAAUAGUAUAGACCAUUGCCUUAUUCUAAAUCCCAACUCCAGAGAAGACGUGUACCGCUAUCACAUAAUGCCAUGACCAGUGUGCUGACCUUGCUGUCCAAGGAAAAACUUCAUCUCCUGGCCCCAUAUUCUAGAAGACUGAAGAUUUCAUUCCAUGAAAGGUUUUCUUGCAACCUACAUAGCACUGGCUGGGCAAGCAGAAGUUCUGAGUCGCACUGCGCCUCCCAUGCCAGUGAAGGCAAACUUCUGGCAAAGAACACCAAUGUUAUCACAGCCCCCUGCUCACUGGCUUCUCAUCGUCCUUCCUGCAUCCUGGCCCUGCAGGAAAGCAUGAUAUACCUGGGGUUGUUGGGGAAGGGAAGCUUCUUGGUAUGAAAUGCAGUGGUACGAAAUUAAUGGUGGAGGCUUCUCAUCAGCCUUUCUUUGUUCUUCCUGCUGCCUCUAAGAACCUGGCCAUGAGAUUCAAGUAGACAAAGGAGCUGAGUUUUUUUCAUCCUAU